rnacentral:lncRNA from 1 species
UGUGACACAAUGAGCCUUAAAGGUAAUGAUACCAAAGUUUGUAACGAAAAAGUGGAACCGGCUGGGGCUAUGAUAUUUAAGCAGAGUAGGGCAACCUAAACUAGGCUCUGAACAGUUUGUAAUAGAAAUAGGUAAUGAGUGCUUCUGAACCUAUUUUAGAAGACUAAUCCUGAUAGAGAGGAACAAGGGAAUUAACCACCAAGCAGGAGUAAA